ACCCGCUGAACUUAAGCAUAUCAAUAAGCGGAGGAAAAGAAACUAACAAGGAUUCCCCUAGUAACGGCGAGUGAAGCGGGAAAAGCUCAAAUUUGAAAUCUGGCAGCCUCAGGUUGUCCGAGUUGUAAUCUAUAGAAACGUUUUCCGCGCCGGCCCAUGUACAAGUCCCUUGGAACAGGGCGUCAUAGAGGGUGAGAAUCCCGUCCUUGACACGGACCACCGGUGCUUUGUGAUACGUUUUCAACGAGUCGAGUUGUUUGGGAAUGCAGCUCAAAAUGGGUGGUAAAUUCCAUCUAAAGCUAAAUAUUGGCGAGAGACCGAUAGCGAACAAGUACCGUGAGGGAAAGAUGAAAAGCACUUUGGAAAGAGAGUUAAACAGUAUGUGAAAUUGUUGAAAGGGAAACGAUUGAAGUCAGUCGUGUCUAUUGGACUCAGCCGGUUCUGCCGGUGUACUUCCUUUAGAUGGGGUCAACAUCAGUUUUGAUCGCUGGAAAAGGGCGGGAGGAAUGUAGCACUCUCGGGUGAACUUAUAGCCUUCCGUCGUAUACAGUGGUUGGGACUGAGGAACGCAGCAUGCCUUUAUGGCCGGGGUUCGCCCACGUACAUGCUUAGGAUGUUGACAUAAUGGCUUU
rnacentral:rRNA from 1 species